rnacentral:lncRNA from 1 species
AGCAUUAGGGGAGCCCACGGCUACAAAAACAAGUGAGUGAGAAGAGGUGGGAGGAAGAGAAACUACGCCACCUCCCCUGCAGCCGAGUGCACGCAGCAGCCUGGCGUGACAAGUGGGCGACGCCGGGGGGCAGGGAGCCGGGGUCCUUGGCCCUGGCCGGGGACCCCACCGCCCACCGCGCGGAGGACAACUUUUAGCCGGCAGCCCAGACCAGCGCGGCACCUGUCUCCGGAGUCUCCACCGCUCCUCCCGAUUCAUCCCAGGGAAAUUCUCAAGAAUACGCUCUACAAAUCUACGUGCGCAUCAUUUUCACCUCGCGUCGCGCCCGGGAGGAAGGAACGAGGCAAGGAGCUAAAGCAGCGUGCGUUCAGCCCUGGGGAGAAAAAUCAAGACGUUCCCUUCAGUCCUCCCUCGGUGUUAACGUCUGCUCCAGCUCGCAGCCCGCUGCUGGGCAUUUUAUUAAUGCUUUUACGAGUUAGAAGAGUUGGGAUAAUUUGCCAUCUGGAGUUUCUCUGCCUUGCUGAUCUGAGCUCAGACCUGCCAAUUUACCAGAGAUAAUUGAU